CCAUGAGACAAUGUAAACCAUGUAUUAUCCUACUUAUUGGUGAGUGCUGAUAACUCAUAUGGCAGGAACUAUUUAACCAUUCUUAUGCUGGAAGGUAAUAUUCAAAUGUUAUUGAUUUAUGUGAUGUUUAACAAUGAAACAAACAUUUUUUUUUUAAUAUUGUAUGAACCAUAUGGACAUAUGUUUGUGUAUCAAAUUUCAUUUCAUUUCAAAACUGGUCUGCUAUAUGUAUUGAUAUAAGCAAAACAAACACAUUUUUAUAUCAUAUGAACCAUGAACAUACAGGAUAGCUGGUUGAAUCCAUAAAUAAAUCAAUUCAUGUAGACUUCAUUGUGCAUAAGCCAGUCAAAUUUGGAGAGAGUAGCAAACCGACUGCCAACUUCCUGAUCUUGAUAGUAAAUGCAGUCUCGCCUAUAUGGCCAGACAAAACCCUUUUUCUCUCCAAGUUGUUUCAUGCAGUUUACCUGCAGCCCCUCCAUACUUAACAAUCAACAAUUUGUCCCACAUAUCAUAAUUAAGACAAACUGUCCUUCUGUGUAUCCUUCAUCUGAGAUGGUGUCUGUAUCCUCAGCUUGGGCCUCUCCAAUUGAUGCACUUGAUUGGGCACAUGCACACAGCACCUAAGUAGAAGAGCUUCAAAAGGAGAGAUUUAUAUGAUAGUGACACAUUUGUCUGCAGUGAUUGCAAUAACUAGGCUCUACUCCAUCAAAUUGGGUGUGCCCAAUUUACAAAUAUGUAGGGUUUAUACUGACUGGGCUUGGGGCUCUCUAGUGGGCAAGCUGGAUGGAGAAGAAGGCACCUCCAUAGCAGAGUCACUAUUCACUUAAGUCAAAGAAAGAGAUUUAUUUGUCAGGGAAAUGUUUGUUUGCAGUGAGUUAGCUAUAUACGUUAUACUCACGUUAUACUCACUGGGCUCGAGCAUUUCAUCCAUGGUGGAGAUCUGCUCUUCCUCAAUCCACAUGAUGGUGACAUUUGCUGCUCAUGAGGAAGCAGUUUGAUCGAUUCUGGUACUGGGUUGCUGGCCCAUCGCCGAGGACAUGCAGGGUGUCGAUUGCAUUUUCAUGUCAUCUUUGGAAAUUGGCAAUAACUGGCUUGAUGUGUGCCCACACGGCACACUCAUCAUGAUGCAAGGACUGGGAAAUGGUGGCAUAGCAGUGGGAGCCACUGACAGAGUAGGCAACUCUCGUAUGCAUUGUGGCCUGCUGCCUAUUGCCACCUAAAUGAAAGACCUGAAUCUCAGUGUUGAGUUUACACACAUAGUUCUCUGAAAAGUCCCAUUUCAUUGGGAUGAAUGUUCUCCUUGAUGUGUCUGAACUGUUUCACCUGAUGAAGCCAGUUUAACUGAUGACUCGCAAUUACAUUGAACCUCUGGUUGAACACACCAGUUAGCUCUCCUACUGUCCCUGUGGUGCUUAAAAGAAACAAAGUAAGAUGAGCAAGAUUUGUAUCAGUAAGAAUGUAUUUUUUUUGCCACUGAUGUUCACAGGGUGCUGUGUUUAACCUGUUCAUGCCUAUAGGGGGCGCUUACAGACCAUACAGGGCUCCUGAGGGCUGUUUUUUGUACAAGAGGCUGAGUGAGUUGAUGACAGUCUGUUUCCCUGCAGCUAACAAGCUAAUGUUCGCUAGCCUGACCUCUCUGUCAUUUUUCACCCGAAGUAAAUUCUCCGCACAGUGUGUGGACACAGCAGUCCCCCUCUUCUUUUUCUUCACCCAGUUCUUCUGUAGUAUCUCUCUCCCACUACAACAUCCUGCUUCUCCCACUGCUCCUGUGUUGCAGUGUCAACUGGGCUGUGGUCCUGCAGGUUGGGCUCAUCAUAACAGCACUUUGUGCACAUGUUGCAUGCAUUUUGUAUUUUCCGUAUUCCGUCCGUAUUUUCAGUAUCACAUGUGAGACGUGAUGGCAGUGCUGACAGGCUUUUUGUCGUGAUCAAGCCUCUGCUUGUAAAAGCAUCAGUUAGAAGUGAGAUGUUCGCAUGUUCCCAGCAGGCCCAUGUGUUGCAGUCGCUGGACCUAGCCUCUGUGACAUAAAAAAAGUUUUAUUUGUUAUAAACUGUCUGUAGGACAGCUGGUACUUUUUUUCAAAUUUUUGCAUGUAGGCCUUAUAAAGUCCUUUAGUGAGGAAGUCAGCACUCAUCUUUGUUGUUUUUCUUUCCUGCCAACUGUGUCCUCCUUCCUAGGAAGCACAUGGCUAUUUUCAUCUAAAAGCAGGAAGGAUUCCACCAGAUCUCAUUAAUUAACUUUUUCCUGGGUGGCAAGUGAUAAUUUUCUGUGACUGUUAGUUGUGUUACGUUUUGCCUCACACUUAUAUUUUCCUAUAUUUCUCAGCCCACUUAUUUUCUUUACUGACUUUUCUCUGGAACAUUUUGUUCUGAUCCUUCAGUCUCUUUAAUGAUUUAUUCAGCUUCUUUAUCUUUUCAGUGUGUGGGCUUGGUGUUGGUGACGUAGAUGGGCUUGGUGGUGGUGACGUAGGACCUGGGACUGGACCUGGGUCUACCUGGAUGUUUCAUCAUAGAUAGUGUCAUCUGGGGGAGUCAUGUUGAGUAAUGCAUUUCAAUUUCUUCUUUUGGCUCUAUAUUUUGUCUGAGAAUUUCUCCAUACCUCACUCAGCUUCACUGUUCGUGAUGGUGGGUUUCUGUUUCUUUUCUUGGUAUCUGUUAACAGAGUAACAGAAUGGUGUGAACAUUUUAAUAGUUGUGGGCCAACUGGGCCAGCAAGGCUUGUUGCAUCAUCAGAAAAUACAUUUAAUUUUAAUAAAUAUGUUUAUUUAUUAAUCAAUGCAUCACAUUAUUCAACAUUGUCUGUUCUCUUCAUUUCAUAACUGUGUUCCUCUUAGUUGCACUGCCUAUAGUGUUCUAGUCCAAUGAUAUUUUAGCUAUCAUCACGCCUGGACUGGCCAUCGGGCAUAGGGGAGACCGGGUAUGGUUGAAACACGGGGGUGGUUGUAACAUCACCAAUUCCACCAAACAGGGACAAGAUACAAGCCAUGUGACAGAUUCAGUCUCCUCAGACAUCCUUUACGAUCACACGUGGUGAUUUUCAACAUGUUGGUGCCAUUUUCCCCAGACUUAGGAGAAAAAAAAUCAAGUUCUGAGGAUGCUUACACUCAUUUUGGAAGCCUGCCUUCCUCUAAGUUGCCAUGUUUGAGGAAAUGUUCUGUGUCGCUGUGCCGAGUGUUGCUGCUGUGGAGGUCUAAGGUGACUGUUUAUUGAUGUGGUGAGUACAUGUGAAAAUGUGAAACUAUCACUCAAUCACAAUCUCUAAUUUAUACAUUUUAAUAUUCAUCUCAUCUCUGUUCCUCUGUGUCCUAUUUUUCAGGAUCCCAUCAUAGUGUUCAUUGUUAGAUCAAGUACUGUGAUAUGAUGCAACUAUUUUCCCACAUUUUUCUAGAUAGCAGUACUGUGAUCAUCAAGUCCAUCAAUUGUUAUUCUUUCUCACCUUUCUUUCUCUGUCUUCUUUCACUUUUUAAAGGUUUCCAUGUUUGAGGAAAUAGUCUGUGUUGCUGUGCUAUUUAUUGAUGUGGUGAAUAAAUGGUCUACAAAAAUA